GACGCCACAGGAGCGCAUUCGGCCUCGUGAGAGGGCGCCUCCCCAGAGGGCGAGAAGGAGCACUGUCGUGCUAAACUCCACUAGAGACGGUCAGCAAUGCCCCGCGUCCGCCUCUCCUCCAUCUUCACCAACCCCACGUCCUCCACAGAGCCUUCACCGCGCGCUCCUCUCGCCGCCUUGGCUGCCGCCACGGAGCGCGUGCGCGCCGGGACGCUCAGCCGGGAGGACGCUCACCACCUGUUCGACGAAUUGCUGCGUCAAGCCGCCCCCGUCCCAGAGCGUGCCAUGAAUGGCUUUCUUGCCGCGCUCGCCCGUGCGCCGCCCUCCUCUGCCUGCAGAUGUGGCCCUGCUCUCGCUGUCGCCCUCUUCCGCCGCAUGUCUCGAGGUGCGGGCCGGCGGGUGGCGCCGCCCACGCUACAUACCUAUGGCAUCCUUAUGGACUGCUGCCGCCGCGUCGGCCGCCUGGACCUUGCGCUUGCCUUCUUCAGCCGCCUCCUCAGGACAGGCAUGUGCGUCAAUGUCUUUGCAUUCAGCAGCCUCCUCAGGGGCCUCUGCGAUGCAAAGCGCACAGAAGAGGCUAUGGACGUGCUGCUCCACAGGAUGCCCAAGCUGGGCUGCUUGCCUGAUGUUGUCUCGUACUCAAUACUUCUGAAGAGCUUCUGCGAUGAUAGGAAGAGUCAGCGGGCACUCGAGCUACUACGGAUGAUGGCUAAAGAAGGAGGUAGCUGCUCACCCAAUGUCGUUGCGUACAAUACAGUUAUUGAUGGCUUCUUUAAGGAGGGCGAAGUAGCUAAAGCAUGUGAUCUCUUCCAUGUGAUGAUGCAGGAGGGAAUUCCACCUAAUGUGGUGACUUACAGCUCGAUUAUUGAUGCACUAUGCAAGGCCAGAGCAAUGGCCAAAGCAGAGGUAAUCCUUCGACAAAUGGUUGAUAAAGGUGUUCCGCCCAAUACCGCGACAUAUACUUGCCUGAUCCAUGGAUAUUCCACGCUAGGCCAGUGGAGGGAUGCAGUUAGGGUGUUCAAAGAGAUGACAAACCGGGGUGUUCUACCAAAUGCUGCCACUUGGAACACAUUGAUGGAUUCCCUCUGUAAGCAUGGAAGGAGCAAGGUAGCUAGAGAUAUUUUUGAUUCCAUGGCUAUGAAGGGACAAAAACCUGAUAUUGUUUCCUACUCUAUUAUGCUUCAUGGGUACGCUGCAGAAGGAUGCUUUGCUGAUAUGACUGAUCUCUUCAAUUCAAUGGUACGAGAUGGUAUUUUACCUAACCACCAUGUUUUCAACAUAUUGAUCAAUGCAUAUGCUAAUCGUGGACUGAUGGAUGAGGCUAUUCUUAUGUUCGAAGAAAUGCGGCAGCAAGGAGUGAACCCGAAUGUAGUCAACUAUGUAACAGUGAUGGAUGCACUUUGCAAAAUGGGUAGGCUGGAUGAUGCUAUGGACAAAUUCAAUCAGAUGGUUGAUAAGGGACUUUCACCUAACAGAGCUGUUUACCAGUGCCUAGUUCUGGGUUUUUGUUCUCAUGGUGAUUUUGUGAAAGCCAAGGAAUUGAUUUCUGAAGUGAUUAAUAAAGCUCUGUGUCCUAACAAUGAUUUCUUCUAUUCCGUAAUAAACAACCUAUGCAAAGAAGGAAGGGUAACGGAGGCACAAGAUAUGUUUGACUUCAUUGUAUGUAUAGGUCAGCGGCCUGAUGUUAUUAUGUAUAGUUCACUGAUGGAUGGAUAUUGCCUGGUUGGCAAGAUGGAGGAAGCACUGAGAGUACUUGAUGCUAUAGUGUCAGCUGGCCUUGAACCUGAUGUUGUUUCUUAUUGUAUACUUGUUAAUGGAUAUUGUAAAAUUGGAAGGAUCGAUGAUGGAUUGAGUCUGUUCAGGGCAAUGUCACUUAAGGGAGUCAAGCCCACAACUAUUAUGUACAACAUCAUACUGGAUGGGUUAUUUCAGGCUGGGAGAACAGUUGCCGCUAAUGAUAAGUUCCAUGAAAUGAUUGAAAGUGGAAUACCAUUGGACAUUGGAACAUACAAUACACUUCUCAGUGGAUUUUGUAAAAAUAAUUGCUCUGACGAAGCAAUCAUGCUGUUCAACAAAUUACGUGCAAUGAAUGUGAAGAUUAAUAUCAUAACCCUCAAUAUUAUGAUCUCUGCAAUGUUUAAAGCAAGGAGAAUUGAAGAAGCCAAGGAUUUGUUUGCUACUAUCUCAGCCAAUGGGCUGGUCCCUUCUGUUGAGACAUACCAUCAAAUGAUGACAAAUCUUAUUAACGAAGGGUUACUGGAAGAGGCGGACAAUAUCUUUUCAUCUAUGGAGAAUGCUGGCUGUGAUCCCAACUCUCAACUGCUAAAUCAUGUGGUCAGAGUGUUACUGGACAACGGUGAAAUAGUCAGGGCUGGAACAUAUCUGUCUAAAAUUGAUGAGAAGAAUUUAUCACUUGAAGCUUCAACCACUUCGUUGCUGAUCUCUCUCUUCUCAAGGAAAGGGACAUGUCAGAAACACAUAAACUUUCUCCCUGCAAAGUAUCAGUUUCUUGCUGUAGCUGGCUGCAGUUGAUGCCUUAUAUCUGACUGAGCUCAGGUCCCCACAAGACACUCUUGAGUUUGUUGUUUGUCACAAGGGAUAUUAUCUGCACACAUACAUUCGGUUCCUGAUCCUUCUGUUUGUUCUUGUUGUGUUGAAAUCACAAGGAUUCCAGUUAGAUGUGACUUUUUUUCCUUCUUGUUGUAGGAUGUUGACCAAGGUGUUUAACGUAGUUGGUCGCAUUUUGAUGUAUAAUGAAAGACUUCUGAGUGGGAAGCUCAUUGUUCAUCAGUGUGCUGAGGUUAUGCAGAGGAAGCCGCAAAGUUCAGUUCUUGAUGCUGAUCUAGGUAGAGAUUAGUUAUCCAAGUUUCGGAGUUUGGACUAUGAGCAUAUCUGAAAGGAAAACAAACACUCAGAAGGAGCUUCUUCUGCAGCUUUCGUUGCUUCCCUUUUGUGCAGUCUCCGGUGAGUAACUUUAACCUAUUAUACUUAGAUACCCCCUGAUCUGCUGCUUCCAGUUAGCGAAAAGGCGGAGGGUGAGAUCGGAACGGGGACUGCUGGCCGGAGGAGACAAGCGACGGAGCUAUAAGGGUUUGACUCCAUUGUGGUCUUGGGAGGCGCCUGCACAGCGUUGUCGAAGAAAGAUCUGACUCCACUGCGGCCUUGGGAGGCACCUGCACAGUGUCAUCGAAGAACGGUUGAUUCUGUUGUGACCUUGGGAGCUACCUGCACAGUGUUGUCAAAGAAGGGUUUGACUCCACUGCAAUCUUGGUAGGUGUCUGCACAGUAUCGUUGAAGAAGGGUUGACUCUGCUGUGACCUUGGAAGGUGCAUGCACAGCGUCAUCAAAUAUUGUCUGACUCCACUGCGGCUUUGGGAGGCGCCUGCACAGUGUCAUUGAAGAAGGGUUGACUCCACUGCGACCUUGGGAGGUGCUGCACAGAGUUGUCAAAGAUUUCACAUAUCUGUGAACACGAAGCUGGAGUACUUAUCUGCUUCAUCGAAGGUUUUUCUUGUGUCACUGAGCUAUGAGGUGACCCCAAGAUACGACUACAAGAGACUCUUUCCUUCGGAGACGAUGAAGAGUCGUAACAGUUUUAUUUAAUUGUAUGAUGUUGCAGUGUUCGUGUGUGAAGAACACAUGUUUGAAAAUGCUUCUGAAAACGAUGAGGGUUCCCCAAACUACCUUGUCGGCUAGAGCACGCUGAUAAUCCUAUACUCCCUGGGGGGUUGUAUUUGUGAGUGGCAAGGA